CUGCUGGUCACUAAAAUGUGUCUGACGGUGAGAACAUUGAGCAGCAGAAUCAGGAGAAAUGGGACCCCCGGGGUUAGAAUGUGGUGGAGGGACUCGAUUGUGACCCAGACACUGGAGACUCGAACAGCGUCUGUUACAUCACAAAACCAGGGGGCGUUCCCCAGCCAAUACCGAGCCAUGAGCAUAAAAUACCAGGAAAUGUUCUUUAAACAGCUCAGCACAGUCACUGCUCCCAGAACCACAGCCGCCGUUUUCUCACUGCAAUAUUUACUUUUCAGCUUCUGGCAACAAAUGGCCACAAACCGAUCAAAGGUGAAAGUGACGGUGAACCAGACAGAGCAGUCAGUGGCUGCAUAAAGCAGGACGGCGUGGAUAUUACACACGGGGACGGAGUACCUCAGGAAAUAAAACUGUUCCCGAUAAACAAUGGGAAUGUGUCUCAGGAUCAGGUCGAGGAUAAUGACCAGGAGAUCCGCCGCUGCCAUGGCCCCCAGGUAUCUGUGUUAGCUGUCUGGAUACAGAAUUGGCUGGCCAGCAGAAGACAGCGAGUGGUAGUGGAAGGAAAAUAUUCUGCCUGGAAGUCUGUGGGACAUAUAAACAUAUCUUCAAAGCGACCGAGACCAUUUCCUGCUCAGGGUAUGGCUCUGUGUAUGACAGCAGCAAUGAUGCACCGACAUGGAACAGGGAAUGUGAUGGAGACAUAGUUUGGACAAUGUACAAGGAGACCUCACAUGGUCCAGUUUGGGAGAGAAUGACAUUAUUGUGUGAUUCAGCUCAGAGAGGGAGAAAAUGUCACCUGCCAGAGAAGAAACGGCCUAUUGCACUCUCUCUCCUUCAUUAUUCCUCAUCACAGUAACGUGUGCGAGCUAAAACAAAACUCUACUGUCAUCGUUACCAUUCUUAUUUUUAUACAAUCCCAGCAGUGUGGAAACAAGCCCUUCGGCCCAACAAGUCCAUACUAACCCUCCAAUCAGUAACCUUCCCAUGCCCUUACAGUUACCAUUGACUAGUGCACCUAAAGUAGAAAUCGCUGAACACUAUGGACUAUUUGACCAAUCCACUUGAAUUAUACAGCUUUGGGCUGUGGGAGGAAAUGGGAGCACCCAUCAGAAACUCACACAGACAAGGGGAGAAGAUGCAAACUCCACGCAGAUAGUCUCCCGAGGCUGGAAUUGAACACAUGUCCCUGAUGCUGUGAUGGAACAGUGCGAACUACUGAGCCACUGUGCUCACCUGGGACCUCCUGCCAGCCUAAUGCAAAGGGAAUUCCGCCAAAUCCAACUCUCCCAGGAUAAAAUCCCAUUGCUAGCAGCUGUGUGAGUACAAUAUCUUCAGAAGCAGAGUAACAUUUUGGACAAUCUCUCAAUUUUUCCUUUUGUCAUUAGUUACACUAAUAUUUGGACAAGGUUCUUUCAAUGUGAAAUUGCAGAGAUAGUGUGUGUGUGUGUGUUUGUUUUUAGAAAGGGAAAUAUUGAUUAUGUAUUUGCAAUACCCAAACAGUUUGCCAUCCAUCUUUCCAUCAUAGUUGGAGUAACAUUGCUCUGGAUCAUAAACGUGCUAUUUGAGCAGAUUACAGAAACCAGCCUGACUUGUUCCUAAAACUGACCCUGACCCAGUCUGAGACCGAUAUCAUCGGCUAUAUCACCGACCUGGUUACAUUUAACAUUUGUUGUGAGCAGUGGAGGAGUGGGACUAGAAAAGGAAACAGUGACCCAAAAAGCCGGGGAACUGUAGACCGGUGAGCCUGAUGUCAGUGGUGGGUAAGUUGUUGGAGGGGAUUCUGAGGGAUAGCAUUUACAUACAUUUGGGAAGGUAAGGGCUGAUCGGGGUAGACAACGUGGCUUUCUGCAUGGGAAAUCAUGUCUCAUUAAUUUGAUUGAGUUUUAUGAAGAGGUGACAAAGAAGAUUGAUGAAGGCAGUUUGGUAGACAUUGUCUAUAUGGACCUCAGCAAGGUGUUCACAACAUUCUGAUUGGUAGGCAGAUUAGUAAGGUUCGGUCACAUGGGAUACAGAGGAAGCUCGUCACAAUUGGCUUGAAGGAAGAGGGAUAUUUUUCAGACUGGAGGCUUGUGAGCAGCAGUGUGCUGUAAGAAUCAGUAUUGAGUUCACAAAACAUUUCAUCAUUUAUGUAAAGGAUUUAGAUGUGGAUAUUGGGACCACAGUUAGUAAGUUUACAGACAACAUCAGAAAGGUGGUGUAGUAGAUUAUCUCAGAGUACAACGAGACCACAAAUAGAUGGGACAAAGGGGCAAGGAGUGACAGAUGAAGUUUAAUUUAGAUAAAUACGAAGUUAAGCAUUUUGGGAAGGUAAAUCAGGGCAGGAAUUACAUACUUAAUGGUAAGGGCCUGGUGAGUGUUGUGAAACAAAUGGACAUAGAGCUGCAGGUACAUUGUUCCUUGAAAGUGGAGUCGAAUGCAGACAGUGUGGUACAGAACAAAUUUUACACAUUUGCCUUAAUCAGUCAGAGCAUUGAGUAUCGGGGUUGUGGUGGCAAGUUGCAUCUGUACAGGAUGUUGGUGAGGCCACUUUAAGAAUACUGCAUCCAACUCGGUUUUCUGCAGAAAAGAUUUACACGGAUGUCCCAGGACUGGAGGUUUGAGCUUUAGGGAGAGGUUGAUUAGUUUGAGGUGUUUCCCCCUGGAGUGUUAGAGGCUGAAGGGUGACAUUAUAGAGGUUUAUAAAAUCAUCAGGGGCAUGGAUAUUCUGAACAGCCAUGUUCUGCUCCCCAGGGUAGGGGAGCCCAGAACAGGAGAGCAUAGGUUGGAGGGGAGAGGACGAAUGAUUUAGAAGGGCCAUGAAGAUAAAUGUUUCACACACAGAGUGGUGUGUGUACAUAAAGUGCUUUCAGAGGAAGUGGUGAAGGCGGUUACAAUCGCACAUUUAAAAAGUAUCUGAAAGAGGAGGGAUAUUGGCCAAAUGCUGGCAAAUGGAACUGGAUCAGAUUUGAUAUCUGAUCGGAGUGAACAGAUUGGACUAUCAGGUCUGUUUCUAUUCUGCAUGACUCUGAUUCUA